rnacentral:misc_RNA from 1 species
UACGAGGGGUGCAAACGUUGUUCGGAAUCACUGGGCGUAAAGAGCGUGUAGGCGGUAUACUAAGUCAGUUGUUAAAUUCCUUGGCUUAUCCAAGGGUCAGCGAUCGAUACUGGUGUACUAGAGGGCAAGAGAGAGGUGUGGAAUUCUCGGAGUAGCGGUAAAAUGCGUAGAUCUCGAGAGGAACACCGGUGGCGAAGGCGGCACCUUGGCUUGUACCUGACGCUGAGACGCGAAAGCGUGGGGAGCAAACAGG